rnacentral:lncRNA from 1 species
GGAGAACCUGUGUGUGGAAACUCUGUAUCUAACUAAUCUGAUGGGGAGGUGGAGAACCUUUGUAUGUAGCUCAGGGAUUGUAAAGGGCACCAAUCGGCGCCCUGACAAAACAGACCACGCCGCUCUACCAAUCAGCAGGAUGUGGGUGAGGCCAGAUAAGAGAAUAAAAGCAGGCUGCCUGGGCCAGCAUUGGCAACCCGCUCGGGUCCCCUUCCACAUCGUGGAAGCUUUGUUCUUUCGCUCUUUGCAAUAAAUCUUGCUACUGCUCACUCUUUGGGUCCACGCUGCUUUUAUGAGCUGUAACACUCACCGCGAAGAUCUGCAGCUUCACUCCCGAGCCAGCGAGACCACGAACCCACCAGAAGGAAGAAACUCCGAACACAUCUGAACAUCAGAAGGGCAGACUCCAGACACGCCACCUUAAGAGCUGUAACACUCACCGCGAGGGUCCACGGCUUCAUUCUUGAAGUCAGUGAGACCAAGAACCCACCAAUUCCGGACACAAUUUCUUGGCUCUCAGUGGCUUCCAUGGAAGUUCUGCAAUCAACCAGCAGGAGAACCGCUUAAACCCAGGAGGCGGAGGUUGCAGUGAGCCAAGUAUGCAUCACUGCACUCCAGCCUGGAAGACAGAGUGAGACCCUGUCUCAACAAAAUAAAUUAAAAUAAAAAAUAAUAUAUUUUUCUAACUAUCAUCCCUUUUCCAAAUCAGGAAUUCCCCUUAAGUUUUCCUCAAUUUCCAUGGCAAUAUCUUUGCAUAGAUUCAUUAAGAAUUUGUCCUUUUUAAAUAAAAAAUAUAAAGGGAACUAUUCAUUAGGCAACAAAUGCCUUGUCUGAAAUAUCACAUUUGAGAAUGCUGCUCAUUUAAUCAGAAAGGUACGCUACUUUAAAGAACUGAGGUCCACUUUCUGGAGCCAAAAACUCAUAAAUCCCUCUCAGAAAAACCUGAUUUGCUUUGUAGGGUCUCAGGUUUAGAGAUGCUGAAAAAGAUAUUUUCGUUGCAGACAAAGGACCUCAGAGUAUUUGGAGAACUUUGAGAAGAGAGGAAUUCUCCCAAAUGUAUAGGUGUCACAGGUAAAAUACAGUCGAGAGAUUUUCUUGGACUUUAAUUCCUUAAAUCAGGAUAGCAAAUAAUAGGGGCUUUUACAAAUUCAAUCUGUUUCCUUACAAAAAUUUUCAGCAAAGUAAUUUCAGCAAAUUAAUUUUCAGCAAAGUAAAUGUAAGAAGACUUAUGUGAAAAAUUAACAUUCUCCAUGUAUCUAUGAAGCCAAACCUAAUAAAACCAGCUUUAAUUUGUGCUCAAGAAUAUUAUUUCACUGAGUUUUCUUAAAUCACAAAGGGGAGACUGUUAUGAAAACUGAUAUAAAAUAAAAAAAACAAGGAAGAAAAGUCUACUAGAUGUCUCUAAUGGAAGACUGCAUUUUUAGAACAUAUCCUUAUAGGCGAUUCUAGCCUUUCUCUGCUAUUUGGCUCUCACACUCUUUACCGUGCAGAUAAUUCACAGCAAUGCAAAAGAAUCCUCAUCUAUAGCCAUGAAAAUAAGUUAUUUGUUAUUUCUGGUAAAGGUUCAAUUGACCUCCCCUUCCAGGAUGAAGAAAGUUUCAUGUCUUUCUGCAUCAUUUCAACUAUUCCUUACUACAUAUAAAUCUGCACUUGUUAACUUCUAUUUUGAAUUGAUUGUGGCAUCUGCCUGCUUCCCCAUUAAAACUGAAUAAAAUCUUUAACACAUAAAAAUGUGUGAAGUAAUUUUUCUGUUUCCUUGUACAAAUUAGAAAGUAAAAUUGAUAAGUGUUCAAAUGACUCAGGCUUCAAGUCCCAUAUUCUUCUUAGUAGAGCAGAGGAUGCC